UUUAGCGCGUUUGAUCGCACCGAAAGCAAGCGCAGCGCAGCAUGUCGCCGCCACGCCGCCUGCCCGGGUGUGUUUUGCUUCGUUGUGCCCGAGGCGCUGAGGAUCGCCCCAUGACAGCGGCACGGUGCCCGGUCUGGAGGCAGCUUUCUUCCUCAGAUUCCCGCUAAAAGAGGAACCGGCCAGAAGACAUCCUGCAACUUCACAAGAGACUUGAGCUGUUGGAAGCCCAUCUCAGGAAGCUGAAGACAGAAGGCAGGGGACAGCUUGGACUGGAUCUUCUAUUCAAUGACCAUGAUAUCCAAAAUAACAGGCAAUGUAGCUAGCUCUGGAUUUUUACAUGAUGAUACGUAACUUGGUUAGGAAUAACACCAUUGUGGAAGAACUUGCUUUCAAUAUACCUCAUAUAUGUCAUUUAUUAAAGAGUUAUCUUUAUUUUGAUGUAAAUGUAACAACAAUCUUUACUUUUCAGUCUUCAUAGAUUGUUUUAGCCCGUUAAUGAAAUUU